rnacentral:rRNA from 1 species
GUUUCCGUAGGUGAACCUGCGGAAGGAUCAUUAGGAUCUGGCCGGGCCGCCCCCGAAGAGGGGUCGCGGACCCGGCCGCCUCCGGCGUACCUUUGCCGUUGCCUUGGCGGGACCGGGUGCCGCGAGGGCCCGGCCGGUCUAGCGACCGGUAAGAACCCGUCAGUGGACCCGCAUCGAAUUCGCGUAACCCCCUCCUGACGUCGGAUGGAAAGCGAGAAUGUCAAAACUUUCAACAACGGAUCUCUUGGUUCCGGCAUCGAUGAAGAACGCAGCGAAAUGCGAUAAGUAGUGUGAAUUGCAGAAUCCAGUGAACCAUCGAAUCUUUGAACGCACAUUGCGCCCUUUGGCAUUCCGAGGGGCACACCUGCCCGAGCGUCAUUUGGUCGAUCGAGCGCCGCUCGGUGUUGGGCGCCGCCCUCCGGGGCGGGCCCCGAAGCCAUGGGCGUCGCGGCCCCGCCUUGAGCCUAGCGAAGCCGUCGAAAGGGCUCUGUAGGUGGGGGCCCGCGGCCGCCGGACGCGCGACGAAAGCGAAGCACGCUGGACCUCGGAUCAGGUGGGAAUACCCGCUGAACUUAAG